UACGAAGGUGGCAAGCGUUGUUCGGAUUUACUGGGCGUACAGGGGGCGUAGGCGGUUGGAUAAGCCCUCCGUGAAAUCUCCAGGCUUAACCUGGAAAGUGCAGAGGGGACUGUUCAGCUAGAGGAUGGGAGAGGAGCGCGGAAUUCCCGGUGUAGCGGUGAAAUGCGUAGAGAUCGGGAAGAAUACCUGUGGCGAAGGCGGCCAGCUGGGCCAGAUCCGACACUGAGGCGCGGAAAGCGUGGGGAGCAAACAGG
rnacentral:rRNA from 1 species